ensembl:lncRNA novel transcript, antisense to NAALADL2
UGAAAAUGAUAUAACAGGAUGGAGCAAAAAUAGAAGACAAAGGAACGAAGAGACUUAAAACAACAACAACGACUACAACUACAACAACAUUUGGCUGGGUGCAGUGGCUCAUGGCCGUAAUCCCAGCGCUUUGAGAAGCCAAGGCAGGAAGAUCACUUGAGACCGGGAGUUUGAGACAAGUCUGGGCAACACAGCAAGACCCCCAUCUCUACAAACUAUUUUUUAAGAAAUUAGCUGGGCAUGGUGGUGCAUGCCUAUAGGAUUAGCUACCUGGGAGGCUGAGGGUGUUGGAUUGCUUUAGCUCAGGUGUUUAAGGUUACAGUGAGCUAUGAUCAUACCACUUGCAUUCCAGCCUGGGUGACAAAGUGAGACUAUGUCUCUAAAAUUAAAUUAAAUUAAAAAAACACUGUCUGUCCCCUGCAAAGUUUUACAAUACUGAUGUAAUUAUUUAGUUUUAAUCAGGUUGGCCAGUUUCUGGCAGGUGCUGCAAAAGCAACAUUUAAAUAGAAUAUGGCUAGAUGGACUGCUUUCAUAUGUGCAAAUGCUGCAGGUUUUCCCAAAAUAACCUGUUAGAAAUUUCAUUGCUAUUUUCUUAAGACUUACAGAAUGCUGCCUAAAAUAUGGAUGACCAAAUUAUGUUUUUCUAAAGGCAAAAUCAAUACAUUCUGUGAUCUAGAAAAGAUGAUUUUGAAAACUAAGAGCAGAACAGCAACAUAUAGGGAGAGGUGCAUAUGUGUUUGUUUUGCAUCUUAAUUUUAAAACUAUUAUUUGAAGAUAAAUCUUAUCUUUAAUUUCAUAAUCUACUUUGCAUGAAGGCAUUUGUGUUUCACUAAGAGGUCACUCACCUGUACAUCUUUUUGUACAUUUAAGGAGUCAAUGGAAAUAAAAUUACAAAAAAGGGCUUUUAUCCCCCCAAGAAAUUAGGUCUUAGCAAGGAUCUCUUAUUCUCUACUCAAUCAGAGGUGCUGGCACUCCACUGAUGUCUAUAGAACAUCCUAAGGUCUCCAGUAGAAUAAAUCAAGAAAUAAAUAUAUAAUAUAUAAUACACAAAUAUAUACAAUACUAAGUGUGUGUGUGUGUGUGUGUGUGUACUUAAAUGUUUGUGCAUGAAAGAAUGUAUAAUUACAGUUUAUAAUGCUCCUUCAAUAUGAAUACUGGGUUAAAGUAAGUUCACCAUGUUCUUUAUAAUAAGGUGCUGGGGACUUGGGGCAGAGCAAGGUGGAGGAAUAGAAGGCUCCACCGAUUUUCCACUCAAAGUGGACACCAAUUUAGCAGCUAUCUACACAAGAAAAAACCUUCAUAAGAACCAAAUACAAGGUGAGCACUCAAAGUACUUGGUUUUAACUUCAUAUUGCUGAAAGGCACUGAAGAGGUAGGGAAAAGCAGUCCUGAAUCACUAGUGGCAAACCUCCCCCCAAUGCCAGCAGCAGUUGUGUGAUGCUGAGAGCGUGACUGUGACAGAGAUGCCGUAUAUCUUGAUUGUGAUUGUGUAUACAUGGUUAUAUACAUUUGUCAAAAUUCAUCAAGCUGUACAUUGAAGAAUGGAGAAUCUUACUGUAUGUGAAUUAUACCUCAAUAUAUCCAGUAAUUGUGACUUGAGCGAUAAGACUAUCAUAUCAAGAUGUUGUCUGAUAGACCAGAUACUGUGGGACUACCAACUCCUUGAUUUGAAUAACAUUCUAUAAAUGUACUUAAAACUGGUGUUUGAUUUAGGACAUCCAUUUUAUAGUUUUGUUUCAUAUCAAGCUUGUAAUCCAUUAAAACAUCCUAUAUGUAUCUAGCUUAUAAAAAAUUAAAUGCAGUAUUUCAUAAUAAUACUUUAAAGAUUUCAUCUUAUGUAUUUAAAUCUAUUAUAUGAACUUGAUGAAAUCUUUUGUAAUCUACAUAUUGCUAUACAAAGGAUUAGAUAUUCUAUACAGUCUUGUGUCAUUUACAAUUUAGUCAAUAUGCUUUUUUCACAAAUCAUCAGAAAAAUGCAAAUAAAAAAACCACAAUGAGAUACCACCUUACCCCAGCCACAAUGGCCAAUAUUAAAAAGUUAAAAAACAGAUAUUGGCAUAGAUUGUGGUGAAAAGGGAAUGCUUAUAUGCUGUUGGUGGGAAUGUAAAUUCGUACAACCUCUAGGGAAAACAGUAUGGAGAUUCCUCAAAGAACUAACAGUAAAUCUACCAUUCAACACAGCAAUCCCACUACUGU